rnacentral:rRNA from 1 species
CGCCGCGGUUAUACGACGGGCUCAAGCUGACAGAACUCGGCGUAAAGGGUGGUUAAUGUACUUUUAACUAAAGCCAAACAACUUCAAAGCCGUUAUAACCUCAUGAAGACAUGGAAGCCCCACUACGAAAGUGGCUUUAAAAUUAUGACCCCACGAAAGCUAGGGAA